UCUGCCCUUAUGGGCAUUGCAGGUAUGGCUGUGGGAGGUGGCAGAGAGGAAAGAGGCUAUGUCUAGCUUCAGUGUUCUAACCUGUGAACAAAUGCAUGGUUAAUAGCCUAACAGU
rnacentral:snoRNA from 1 species